UCUAACUCUGCUGGGCCCCGCCUCCUGUGAAGGCUUCUUUACAUCAGCCCUUCCUUAGGGCAGCUAAGGGUAAGGGUCAGGCUCCCACGGUCUCGUAGGUGGCUAUGAGGGUGAGCAGCAAUCAGGAAGUACAAGGUCCAUCUGGGGAGUUACUCCCUUGCUCUGGGGCACCCCGCAACACCCACAAGGAAGUGAAGCGGCUUUGAGGUCUUUAAGGACUCUCUUCAAUAGCUUCCUCUCUGGACUGUGGUGCUGUCCUAGAAGACAUCAACAUUUCUCAUUCUCAACUAUGAGCCUGCAGCCAUCCAUACCACUGCAAACGUAGCUUCCUUGCCCAUAAUAGCCACAGGCAGCAUGGAUCACGAACUUCCACAUCAUUUCCGGAGGCAGCACAGACCAUGGACACCAACACGGCCUCAGGUGGCAGCACAGACCACAGGCACCAACACAGCCUGCUUCAACAGUAUGGACCAACAGACACACAACCAGCACAACAACCCUUGAAUGUAGUACAGACCACAGACACCACCAUGGCCUCCGGCGUCACCGACGGUGGAGGUCUUUCCAAGAGGCUCAAUACAGAAAACAGAACCAUUCUCUAUCUUGGACAUCCUGCCAUUGUUCAGAGCCAGGGCAAUCAAUGGCGUGGCUGAGCAUCGAGUGUGGUGGGGGCAGAGCUUGUGAGAGCUCCGGGCUGCUGUGCGCCACCCUGCCAGCCCUACUCAGCAACAACAUGCUCUCCCAGCUAUCCCCAGCCACGCCCCCUCUUUCCCACCUCUCCACCACGCACAUUCAUUCAUGAAGCGGGGUUGCAAACCGCAGUGUGUCACACGGUGGUAUAUUUUUUGCCCCAACCAGCUUAACAUGCAAAUACGAAUUGCAACAAGUCAUUGGUCUGA